UACGGAAGGCAGCAGUGGGGAAUAUUGCACAAUGGGCGCAAGCCUGAUGCAGCCAUGCCGCGUGUAUGAAGAAGGCCUUCGGGUUGUAAAGUACUUUCAGCGGGGAGGAAGGCGGUGAGGUUAAUAACCUCGCCGAUUGACGUUACCCGCAGAAGAAGCACCGGCUAACUCCGUGCCAGCAGCCGCGGUAAUACGGAGGGUGCAAGCGUUAAUCGGAAUUACUGGGCGUAAAGCGCACGCAGGCGGUCUGUUAAGUCAGAUGUGAAAUCCCCGGGCUUAACCUGGGAACUGCAUUUUGAAACUGGCAGGCUUGAGUCUCGUAGAGGGGGUAGAAUUCCAGGUGUAGCGGUGAAAUGCGUAGAGAUCUGGAGGAAUACCGGUGGCGAAGGCGGCCCCUGGGACGAAGACUGACGCUCAGGGUGCGAAAGCGUGGGGAGCAAACAGGGAUUAGAUACC
rnacentral:rRNA from 1 species